GGACCCCCAAAAAUGACUAGUGUAAAACUAUUCAAACAGGAAAAUCAACGGUCUUAUCUAUAAUAAAACGAGAAAUGAGAAACACUUAUGAGUCAAUGAACAAAAUAAUACGGAAAAUCAGAUUCCUUCUGAUAUAGGACAGGUGCAAACAGUUGCAGCGGGUUUAAACGUUUUAAUAGGUACCAACCUUCGCCCUUUUCUGAAAACAUAGUGUAA
rnacentral:lncRNA from 1 species